rnacentral:rRNA from 1 species
CCUACGGGAGGCAGCAGUGGGGAAUUUUCCGCAAUGGGCGAAAGCCUGACGGAGCAAUACCGCGUGAGGGAUGAAAGCCUGUGGGUUGUAAACCUCUUUUCUCAAGGAAGAAGUUCUGACGGUACUUGAGGAAUAAGCAUCGGCUAACUCUGUGCCAGCAGCCGCGGUAAUACAGAGGAUGCAAGCGUUAUCCGGAAUCACUGGGCAUAAAGCGUCUGUAGGUUGCUUGUCAAGUCUGCUGUUAAAGAUCAGGGCCUAACCCUGGAAAAGCAGUGGAAACUAACAGGCUUGAGUGUGGUAGAGGUAGAGGGAAUUCCUGGUGUAGCGGUGAAAUGCGUAGAUAUUAGGAAGAACACCAAUGGCGAAAGCACUCUACUGGGCCAUAACUGACACUGAGAGACGACAGCUAGGGGAGCAAACGGGAUUAGAUACCCCAGUAGUCCUAGCCGUAAACGAUGGAUACUAGGUGUUGCACGUAUUAACCCGUGCAGUAUCGUAGCUAAGGCGUUAAGUAUCCCGCCUGGGAAGUACGCUCGCAAGAGUGAAACUCAAAGGAAUUGACGG